CAGUAGCCACGGUAAUACGGAGGGAGCUAGCGUUGUUCGGAAUUACUGGGCGUAAAGCGCGCGUAGGCGGUUACUCAAGUCAGAGGUGAAAGCCCGGGGCUCAACCCCGGAACUGCCUUUGAAACUAGGUGACUAGAAUCUUGGAGAGGUCAGUGGAAUUCCGAGUGUAGAGGUGAAAUUCGUAGAUAUUCGGAAGAACACCAGUGGCGAAGGCGACUGACUGGACAAGUAUUGACGCUGAGGUGCGAAAGCGUGGGGAGCAAACAGGAUUAGAUACCCGAGUAGUCCCUGUCUCUUAUAC
rnacentral:rRNA from 1 species